ACGGGGUGCAGCAGGCGCGAAAACUUCGCAAUAAGCGAAAGCUUGACGGGGCCAUCCCGAGUGCCAUCUGCUGAGGAUGGCUUUUACCCAGUAUAGAUAGCUGGGGGAAUAAGGAGAGGGCAAGUCUGGUGUCAGCCGCCGCGGUAAUACCAGCUCUCCGAGUUGUGGGGACGUUUAUUGAGCCUGAAGCAUCCGUAGCCGGCUGGGCAAGUCCUCUGUUAAGUCCAGCGACUAAUCGUUGGCCUGCGGGGGAUACUGCUCGGCUAGGGGGCGGGAGAGGCCGUCGGUAUUCUUGGGGUAGGGGUGAAAUCCUAUAAUCCCAGGAGGACCACCAGUGGCGAAGGCUGUCGGCUAGAACGCGCCCGACGGUGAGGGAUGAAAGCUGGGGGAGCGAACCGGAUUAGAUACCCGGGUAGUCCCAGCUGUAAACGAUGCAGGCUAGGUGUUAGGGCGGCUACGUGCCGCUCUAGUGCCGCAGGGAAGCUGUUAAGCCUGCCGCUUGGGGAGUACGGCCGCAAGGCUGAAACUUAAAGGAAUUGGCGGGGGAGC
rnacentral:rRNA from 1 species